rnacentral:rRNA from 1 species
AUUGAACGCUGGCGGCAUGCUUUACACAUGCAAGUCGAACGGUAACAGGCCGCAAGGUGCUGACGAGUGGCGAACGGGUGAGUAAUUCAUCGGAACGUGCCCAGUCGUGGGGGAUAACUACUCGAAAGAGUAGCUAAUACCGCAUACGAUCUAUGGAUGAAAGCGGGGGACCGUAAGGCCUCGCGCGAUUGGAGCGGCCGAUGUCAGAUUAGGUAGUUGGUGGGGUAAAGGCUCACCAAGCCAACGAUCUGUAGCUGGUCUGAGAGGACGACCAGCCACACGGGGACUGAGACACGGCCCAGACUCCUACGGGAGGCAGCAGUGGGGAAUUUUGGACAAUGGGCGCAAGCCUGAUCCAGCAAUGCCGCGUGCAGGAAGAAGGCCUUCGGGUUGUAAACUGCUUUUGUACGGAACGAAACGGCUCUGGUUAAUACCCGGGGCUAAUGACGGUACCGUAAGAAUAAGCACCGGCUAACUACGUG